GUGGAUUAGAUACCCUGGUAGUCCUAGCCGUAAACGAUGGGUACUAGGUGUAGGGGGUAUCGACCCCUCCUGUGCCGGAGUUAACGCAAUAAGUACCCCGCCUGGGGAGUACGGCCGCAAGGUUGAAACUCAAAGGAAUUGACGGGGGCCCGCACAAGCGGUGGAGUAUGUGGUUUAAUUCGACGCAACGCGAAGAACCUUACCAGGGCUUGACAUUGAGUGAAAGGCCUAGAGAUAGGUCCCUCCCUUCGGGGACACAAAAACAGGUGGUGCACGGCUGUCGUCAGCU
rnacentral:rRNA from 1 species